rnacentral:tRNA from 1 species
GGGCGGGACCGCGUAGCACGGCCCUUACAAGGCCGGGGUCGCAGGUUCGAGCCCUGCUCCGCCCACCA